rnacentral:rRNA from 1 species
GCACAAGCGGUGGAGCAUGUGGUUUAAUUCGACGCAACGCGAAGAACCUUACCUGGGCUCGAAAUGUAGUGGACCGGGGUAGAAAUAUCCCUUCCCAGCAAUGGGCUGCUAUAUAGGUGCUGCAUGGCUGUCGUCAGCUCGUGUCGUGAGAUGUUGGGUUAAGUCCCGCAACGAGCGCAACCCUUAUUACCAGUUGCUACCAUUUAGUUGAGCACUCUGGUGAGACCGCCUCGGAUAACGGGGAGGAAGGCGGGGAUGACGUCAAGUCCUCAUGGCCUUUAUGUCCAGGGCUACACACGUGCUACAAUGGCCGGUACAAACCGUCGCAAACCCGUGAGGGGGAGCUAAUCGGAAAAAGCCGGCCUCAGUUCGGAUUGGAGUCUGCAACUCGACUCCAUGAAGCUGGAAUCGCUAGUAAUCGCAGAUCAGAACGCUGCGGUGAAUACGUUCCCGGGC